UACGUAGGGUGCGAGCGUUGUCCGGAAUUACUGGGCGUAAAGAGCUCGUAGGUGGUUUGUUGCGUCCGCUGUGAAAACUCGGGGCUUAACCCCGAGCCUGCAGUGGAUACGGGCAGACUAGAGGUAGGUAGGGGAGAAUGGAAUUCCCGGUGUAGCGGUGAAAUGCGCAGAUAUCGGGAGGAACACCGGUGGCGAAGGCGGUGCUCUGGGCCUUACCUGACGCUGAGGAGCGAAAGCGUGGGGAGCGAACAGG
rnacentral:rRNA from 1 species